AUAACGGUCCUAAGGUAGCGAAAUUCCUUGUCGGGUAAGUUCCGACCUGCACGAAAGGUGUAAUGAUCUGAGCGCUGUCUUGGCGGGAGGCCUGGUGAAAUUGUAUUACCGGUGAAGAUACCGGUUACCUGCAGUAGGACGGAAAGACCCCAUGGAGCUUUACUGUAGCUUGGUAUUGGGUUUCGGUGUCAUAUGUAUAGGAUAGUUGGGAGGCUACGAAGUAUGUCCGUCAGGAUAUAUGGAGCCGCUGGUGGAAUACCAACCAUAUUACACUGGAAUUCUAAUUUGAGGUUUGUAGCCUUGAAGACAGUGCUAGGUGGGCAGUUUGACUGGGGCGGUCGCCUCCGAAAGAGUAACGGAGGCGCCCAAAGGUUCCCUCAGGUUGGAUGGAAAUCAACCGCAGAGUGUAAUGGCAGAAGGGAGCUUAACUGCGAGACUGACGGGUCGAGCAGGUGCGAAAGCAGGGCAUAGUGAUCCGGCGAUUCCGAAUGGAAGGGUCGUCGCUCAACGGAUAAAAGCUACCCUGGGGAUAACAGGCUGAUUUUGCCCGAGAGUCCAUAUCGACGGCAAAGUUUGGCACCUCGAUGUCGGCUCAUCUCAUCCUGGGGCUGGAGAAGGUCCCAAGGGUUGGGCUGUUCGCCCAUUAAAGAGGUACGUGAGCUGGGUUCAGAACGUCGUGAGACAGUUCGGUCCCUAUCCACUGCAGGCGUAAGAGUAUUGAAAAGAUCUGUCCUUAGUACGAGAGGACCGGGAUGGACAAACCUCUGAUGUACCAGUUGUCACGCCAGUGGCACAGCUGGGUAGUCACGUUUGGACUAGAUAACCGCUGAAAGCAUCUAAGCGGGAAACUGACUUUGAGAUAAGUACUCUAUAGACAACUUCGAGACUAGGAGUUUGAUAGGUUGGGAGUGUAAGUGAAGCAAUUCAUUUAGCGGACCAAUACUAAUAA
rnacentral:rRNA from 1 species